GAUGAAGAACGUAGCGAAAUGCGAUAAGUAAUGUGAAUUGCAGAAUUCAGUGAAUCAUCGAAUCUUUGAACGCACCUUGCGCCCCUUGGUUAUUCCAAAGGGCAUGCCUGUUUGAGUAUCAUGAACACCUCAACUCUUGUGGUUUCCCACAAUGAGCUUGGACUGUGGAGGUUUUGUUGGCCCUGUGGUCAGCUCCUCUCAAAUGGAUCAGCUUACCGGUGUUUGGUGGCAUUGCGGGUGUGAUAACUAUCUACGCUCGUGGUCGUCUCCAAAUAACCUCCAGUGAUGGAGGUUCGCUGGAGCUUAUAAAUGUCUCUCCCCAGUGAAGACAGCCUUUGAACGUUCGAUCUCAAAUCAGGUAGGACUACCCGCUGAACUUAAGCAUAUCAAUAAGCGGAGGA
rnacentral:misc_RNA from 1 species